GGCGAAUGCAGCAUGUCAGGGCCCUUUAUCCUUUGACAGAUAGCGCCAGCUUACACUCUUUGCAAUGAUACCUGGAUGUGGGGAUCUCUUCAGCCUUUUCGUCACUCUUGUCCUGUAAGAAUGCAGCAAAGACACAGAGUGCAGUGUGGACGACAGGGAGAAUUUGCUUCUGAGCAGAGGAGAGCACACCGUCUAAGGUCAGAGAAUUGGAGAAAUGGAGAAAUGGCCAGUGUCAGAAAGCCCCCACAAGAGAUAGCUUUCCUCUGAAGCAAGAAGUGGAGAAGGUGCUUGCUGUGCAGAUCAGCCCAGGGUCCUCUCCUGCAAUGCCCCAUCUGCCUGUGCAGGUGUCACUCUGGCCACUCUGCAUCAGCCCAUGAAGACAUUCCCAGAGACCCACAAAAGAUGCUGAUGCUCUGAACUGCCAUUUGGUGAACAACACCUUUACCUUCAUUUCAGGUCCAGGGUUUGUAUCUUCCCACAGCAUCAGUGACACUGUGGUAGGUUAAGUUGCUGCUUGCAAAUGGAAAUAUCUCAGGCAUAUCACAGUUCUUGAUACAUGUAUGCCUCCAAUCAAACAGUUAGUGAAUGUUGGCUGAGUGUCAGGUACUAGGAACACACGGGUAAAGUACUCCAGUCCUUCUUAGGACGUUGCCUGCUAGUGAAGAAGACGUGGAAAACA